rnacentral:ncRNA from 1 species
AUAUUUUAACGGCAAGAUAAUUGAAAAAUUAUUACGCAAAGACUUGAAUCUACGGAAUUUAUCUAUGAUUGUCAAGUUUGCCUCA